UACGUAGGGGGCAAGCGUUGUCCGGAUUUAUUGGGCGUAAAGAGCGUGUAGGCGGCCAGGUAGGUCAGCUGUGAAAACUCGAGCUUAACCUCGAGACGCCGGCUGAAACCCUCUGGCUAGAGUCCGGAAGAGGAGAGCGGAAUUCCUGGUGUAGCGGUGAAAUGCGUAGAUAUCGAGAGGAACACCCUGCGGCGAAGGCGGGUUGCUGGGCUGACACUGACGCUGAUGCGCGAAAGCCAGGGGAGCGAACGGG
rnacentral:rRNA from 1 species